UACGUAGGGUGCGAGCGUUAAUCGGAAUUACUGGGCGUAAAGCGUGCGCAGGCGGUUUUGUAAGCCAGAUGUGAAAGCCCCGGGCUUAACCUGGGAAUGGCAUUUGUGACUGCAUCGCUGGAGUGCGGCAGAGGGGGAUGGAAUUCCGCGUGUAGCAGUGAAAUGCGUAGAUAUGCGGAGGAACACCGAUGGCGAAGGCAAUCCCCUGGGCCUGCACUGACGCUCAUGCACGAAAGCGUGGGGAGCAAACAGG
rnacentral:rRNA from 1 species